rnacentral:tRNA from 2 species
GGGUUGUUAGCUCAGUUGGUUUAGAGCGCAUGCUUGACAGGCAUGAGGCCAGCAGUUCGAGUCUGCUACAACCCA